CUGCCGUGGGGUCCUGCAGGCGGUCCCUCUCCCAUCUGCUUUCUCUAUUAUUCUGAUCGACUCUCGGGGACACCCUUUGUCAACUGUCGAGAGCUAUGCAUAUGACCGGGGUUGAUAUUGUUAUUACUAAGAGGCGCUCGGUUUCGAAAUUGCUUUGAAUUUUCUGGCACCAAAGCUUGGCGGUUCCCGUGCCUGGAAGCCUCGGCCGCGUGGGUGUUUUUUCGUCCCUGUGACUUGCGGAGUGGAAACCCACUCUUGCUUUCCUGCUCGGGAAGACGGUAGUUUGAGACGGGAAACCAGGACUGUGUCACUGCAGAAAGCCGGGAGCAAGACACGCCCCAGAGCUGGUUUAACCUGCUGUGACCAGACUAGCUGAAUUAACUAUCCCUCAACUGGACACAUGACCACUCAUUCCUAUGGAGGACUUUCAUCUGACAAACAUUUUCUCCUCUCCUUUGUCCAUCCCACUGGAGCAUUAACUGGCUACUCCUCCUCCAUCCUGACUCCACCCCCAUCACCUGUCUGCCUCUGCUUCCUCCACCUCACCUAGUCAGUCCCUUGGAUCCUCCCCGAGCCCCACUGCUUAGCUAAGGCUCAUCAGAGCUCACCUGAACUGCGGCAGCCUCCUCCCCAUAUACCCAUCUACCCCAGCUCCAUUCUCCAUAAAAGCAGGUCUCAGCUUGCCACUUCUCUGCUGCUAAUCCUGUUUUGCAUCAGAGGCCAAGGCCCAGCCCUCAGGGACCAACGAGCAGGACAAACCAGGGUGCCUGAAUAAAACAUGCCUCUUCCAGUCAGUCACCCAGGAGAAACUUACUCAUCCCAGGAGGGGAGGCGGGGAAGAAGUUCUAGGGAGGAUUCUGGCCCAGCCAACUCUCAUCAGUCGAGGUGAGGAAGGGGGAGGCGGUGGUGGCUCAGCCUGGGGUAAGGCUAACCCCACUCCACUUACAAACUGCCCUCUGCUUUUCUUAGAUGCUCAACCUCACUCAUAAAAUCUGCUCAGUUGC